AGCACACAUACUUGUAACAUUUUCUUUCUUUCUUUUUAAUUACACACAGGGACAGAAUGAGAGGAGUAAACCCUUUAGCCGUUGAGGACAGCAAGAGCCUUCUCUUAAAUGUGACAUGAGUUGGGCUGCUGCUGCUGCUGCUGAUGGGGAAGAAGUUAAACAUUCUCGUGGAGAAGGAAAAGGUGCUGGAAAAGACGUGUGGAGACUGCACCGUUGGAAGGAGACAUAAAGAAACGAGAGAAGAAAAGAUGGCCCUGCUGAGCCAGGGACACCCGUGAAGAGAAGGCAUGUGUCCUCUAGAUGACGGCCGAUGUCCUCGGGGUCCUGGGACGCUUCCCCAGGCUUACUCCAUUUCCGCUGCUCCAAGAGGACAAGGACUCUAGCUUCCCAACCUAGCUCUGUCUAUC